rnacentral:misc_RNA from 1 species
UACGGAGGAUCCAAGCGUUAUCCGGAAUUACUGGGCGUAAAGGGUCCGCAGGCGGCCUAAUUAGUCUGGCGUUAAAUCACGAGGCUUAACCUCGUGGCCGCGUCAGAAACGGUUAGGCUUGAGGAUGUGAGAGGUGAGUGGAACCGACGGUGUAGGGGUGAAAUCCGUUGAUAUCGUCGGGAACACCAAAUGCGAAGGCAACUCACUGGCACAUUCCUGACGCUCAUGGACGACAGCUAAGGUAGCGAACGGG